rnacentral:pre_miRNA from 1 species
CAACUACUCCCUCUGUCCCAAAUUUCUUGUCUUAGAUUUGUCUAGAUACGGAUGUAUCUAAUACUAAAAUGUGACUUGAUACAUCCGUAUCUAGACAAAUCUAAGACAAGAAUUUUCGGACGGAGGGAGUACUUU